AGUGAACGCUGGCGGUAGGCCUAACACAUGCAAGUCGAACGGCAGCACAGUAAGAGCUUGCUCUUACGGGUGGCGAGUGGCGGACGGGUGAGGAAUACAUCGGAAUCUACUUUUUCGUGGGGGAUAACGUAGGGAAACUUACGCUAAUACCGCAUACGACCUACGGGUGAAAGCAGGGGAUCUUCGGACCUUGCGCGAUUGAAUGAGCCGAUUUCGGAUUAGCUCGUUGGCGGGGUAACGGCCCACCAAGGCGACGAUCCGUAGCUGGUCUGGGAGGAUGAUCCGCCACAUUGGAACUGAGACACGGUCCUGACUCCUACGGGAGGCAGCAGUGGGGAAUAUUGGACAAUGGGCGCAAGCAUGACCCAGCCAUACCGCGCGGGUGAAGAAGGCCCUCGGGUUCUAAAGCCCUUUUGUUGGGAAAGAAAAGCAGCAGGUUAAUACCCCGCUGUUCUGACGGUACCCAAAGAAUAAGCACCGGCUAACUUCGUG
rnacentral:rRNA from 1 species